GGCGGCGGCAGCGCGGGGCUCCCCGGGGCCUCUGCCCUCCGCGGCUGCGGGUCUGGCCGGGGCGGCGGAGAAGCCGCCGGGUCGCUUUGCAACUCGCCUGCCGCUUCGUGACUAUCACACCCCCAUCGAAUGGUGCUGCACCAUUAACAGUCCGUGGUGUGGUCGAAGAGGACAAAGAGACCUGGCUGAGAAGAGAUCAGGAGUUGCCUACACCAGGCUGAAUAGGAGAUGCAAAGGGUAUGUUUAUAGACCUUCAGAGAGAAAGCAUCUGGAAAUAGUAACUUAAGACAGGCAAGCAGGCUGCAUCCAAUAACACUUCAGCUUCCGAGGUUCAAAAUCAGUGUUGGCAAUCUGAAUGACGCCUGCUGCUGAAAAGUGGAUGCGCAUGGAUACAUCUGCCCAGAAAGGCAGCCCCAUAGUAACCGUCUUACUCAUCUCUAUUCUCGAAGUACAAUGCUUUAAAAAAUGGCCUGGCUGAUCAGGUCUAUGGCUUUCACUACUUUGUUUUUUCCCACCUGGUUUGCAGUCUGGUUCCAUGCUCUUGUGAUUACAGCUGCAAAGACCACCCAAAUACCUCCAUCAAAAAAACAUUAGUCAAAGAAGUAUAUAAAGUAGUCCAAUAUGCAAAAAAAGUGCUUAAAAAUAGUCAGCAAAGGAACUAGAGAUCACAACUGGUAUCCCUUGCUACUAUAAAACAAGCUGGUGGAUAUUAGUAGUUCACAAAUAUUGUAAUUGAGUAUCUGAUUAUAACCAUCCAAUAUGUAAAAAAUAAAUUUUACUCAUAUACAAAUGUGCA
rnacentral:lncRNA from 1 species